rnacentral:rRNA from 1 species
ACGGCUCAGUAACACGUGGACAACCUACCCUUGGGUCUGGCAUAAUCCUGGGAAACUGGGUAUAAUUCCGGAUAGGUCACAGAUGCUGGAAUGCACUGUGGCCGAAAGCUCCGGCGCCCAAGGAUGGGUCUGCGGCCUAUCAGGGUUGUAGUGGGUGUAACGGACCUACUAGCCUACGACGGGUACGGGUUGUGAGAGCAAGAGCCCGGAGAAGGAUUCUGAGACACGAAUCCAGGCCCUACGGGGUGCAGCAGGCGCGAAAACUUUACAAUGCGGGAAACCGUGAUAAGGGAAUCUCGAGUGCCAGCAUAUAAUGUUGGCUGUCCAGAUGCCUAAAAAGCAUCUGUUAGCAAGGGCCGGGCAAGACCGGUGCCAGCCGCCGCGGUAACACCGGCGGCCCGAGUGGUAACCGCUUUUAUUGGGUCUAAAGGGUCUGUAGCCGGCCAAGUAAGUCCCUUGGGAAAUCUGGCAGCUUAACUGUCAGGCUGCUAGGGGAUACUGCUAGGCUUGGGACCGGGAGAGGUGAGAGGUACCUUGGGGGUAGGGGUGAAAUCUUGUGAUCCUCGGGGGACCACCAGUGGCGAAGGCGUCUCACCAGAACGGGUCCGACGGUAAGGGACGAAAGCUAGGGGCACGAACCGGAUUAGAUACCCGGGUAGUCCUAGCCGUAAACGAUGCUCGCUAGGUGUCAGUCACGGUGCGACCGUGAUUGGUGCCGUAGGGAAGCCGUGAAGCGAGCCACCUGGGAAGUAUGGCCGCAAGGCUGAAACUUAAAGGAAUUGGCGGGGGAGCAC